CGACAUUGGACAUUGACUCAAACAGAAAGGACAAGACAUGGUUUCCCAUAAAUAUCACAUGAAGAUAUUUCUAGUCUACACAUGUAGACAGAAAGAUCUGACAAUCACAAUAAUUCAAUACAGUACUGCGCAAGGGGCAGAUAUUUUGUGACCAGAGCCAUCAAGAGAGGUUUCAAGAUUCUGCAAUGGGGAAAGCUGAGCCGAUACGGUUGUUGCCAAGUCGGUAACAUUUGACAUUGACAUUGUAUGGACCCAACUGAAUGUGGUUAUCUUCUGUGCCCAUGAAGAAACACAUGGUGUAUAGAGCCAACUCGAACUCUGGACUUACUCCAACUAGAGUACUUGAGACUGAUUUUAGAACACCGUUCCACUCGAAUUGGAUUGUUAGCAGCUGAGUCUCUGAAUCAGGCUGCAUACGAAGCAAAAGUGUGGUUUCUCGGUCAGUCACCGGUUUUGAAGUACUUAUAUUUGGAGGACAUAUUUAGCAUUGAACGAAGCUAUGGUACUUACAAUUUCACCGCGACGUCGGGGAAAUAUAUAGCCUUGAUAAUCUACAGUUCCUUUGGCUUCCUCCAAGUAAAACUACAAGAAAAGAGAGCCAAUUUAAUCGGUUGUAAGUUUUACUGUUUUGAAUCGGACUUUCUUAGAGAUUUGAAUUCAUGGUAGGUGGAGGACAAAAAGUGUUUUACCUGAAGCCAGUUAUGGAAUCCAGAGACUUGUUCCCCACCAGAUUGUUUGAUCUCACCUACAAAGACAUGCUCAAACGCAGAAGAUGAGCCAGAUGUACCUCCGCGGCCAUACAGAUCGAACCAGAGACUUGUCAACAUUCUCUUGAACUCUAAGUAGCUUCCAGGAGCGACGUCCUUGAGCACAAGGUACCUGUGAAGGUACUUGAUCACAGAGGUUCUGCUAAUUUCUUCAAUGAAAGCCGCUUGCUCUUGCCUCUCUUCUUCUGUGACCACUUCUUUGUAACCUUCGUUGGGGUUGUAGUUGUCAAGCAAUGAACAGAAUCUGGCGAAAGUCGGUUUUCUAGAGACUUCCUCGCUCACCCAAGAGAACAGUAGUCCUUCAGCCAUAUCAGCUCUCUCAUGGACCCUUUUCCCAUCUCCGCAGUCGAUUUGAUAAUCCCUUCCAGGAACAAGGCGGUUUAAAUCGAGCUCCCACAGUUUGUUGCAAGCUUCUGAGAGACCUGAGAGCUCUAGUUGUGAGGGUUCUAGGUUUCCAUAAGUUUCAACUUCGUCUGAGUAGUGUUGUUCACUUGCUGGGCGUUUGUAAUCUUGCCAUUGCUCCUUCUGGACCUGCGGAGAAAGAGAGUGAUCACACAUCAAAUCAGUGGAAAAAAUGACGGGUAAAAUCAGCAGUUAGGGCUCUGUCUCGGUUUCGAAAAUUCAAACCUUAUGUGAUUGCCUUGCAGGUUUCUUUUUGCCCACAGUUUCCCAACCAUCAUUUUCCUCUUGCUGGCUCUCCUGUACUUGGAAUCAAAUGCCAACAUUAGAUCCUAAACAUGCUAGCUAAACUGACAUUAGGUUGAUUCUUCCUUUAUAAGAUGAUCUAAUGUAAGAGUAAACGAAGUGAUAUCUCACCGAGAAGUCUUGUUUCUCGCUCACUUUAGCCGCAUAUGUAUUCUCUUCCUGGUCCUCCUGCGUGGGGAAAUCAAAAUGCUGAAUAUUAAAGGCUUUUUGCAGGUAAGGAAGAGCCUGGUUUCUUGU